GCGAGACUCCACCCAGCCACUCCGAUAGGGCAAAAAACACGCCUCCCCUGCUCGGCCUCCUAGUGGAUGGCGGAGGCGAAGGCGGCGGCUGCUGUGGCGCUGCCGGGCAGCGACUGGGCGUCCCUAUUUCCCUUGCUCCCGACCUCCUCUCCCCAAAGUCCUUCCCCUUCCCAACCUGCUCCCCGUUCCCACGCUCUUCGCGACGACGAGCAGGGCAAGGCGGCCGGACGCGCCUCCCUCAGCCCCUCCCUUCCUCGACCUCCCUCCUCCUCUCCUCCUGCGUCCCCAAGGGCCGCGAGCCCCGCCGACCGGCUGGCCGCGCAGGACCGCUCGUACCAUGCUCACGCACGCGGCUGGGGGCUGCACGCACGGAUCCGCAUGCAGAGCAUGGGCCCGGCGCGGCUCUGGCCGCGAGGGGCGUGCAGCUCUGGCCGCUCGAACCACCGCGGCUCUCCUCUCUCGCCCCUCUCUCACCCUAGAUCCAGUACUCCAACCAUAAAAAUCGAAAGGAACGAAGCCCGGCCGCACCCCACCGGCUCGCGCCCCGACCCCCUCCACCGCCACCUCCCAGUCCGUCGCUGCGUCGCAUCGGGGAGGAGGAGGAUAUGGCCGCCACCGCCACCGCCGUCGCCUGCAGGCCGGGUCCUGCUCCUGCACGGCCAGCACCAGUGGCCGCGACAGCAGUGUGCGGUCGCGUCUAGGAAGGCGAUCACGGGAACGUCCGUCACCAGCUCGCAGCCACGCUGGUGACAUUCCCGUCGAGGGCGACCGCAUACGCACACCAUCCAACCCCUCCUACACCUCUACGGUGGGAUUCGGUAAGAAAGCAGAUGGAGGCGGGCGACGCCGGGGACAUGGACGGGAAGGUUGCACGCUGCCCUGGCAGCGGCAGCAGACGAGAAGCAGCUGCGAGCUCCACCUAGAAGUAGCCGCGGGAGCAAUGCCUGGCACGGCCUUUGGCUGAGCUCCCGUGCGCUGCCCGGAAAGCUCGCCCGCGCCGGCUGUGGAGUCUGCCCUAACGCUGCGGAGCUCCUCCCCCGUCCUCUAUCUCAUCUGGUCUGCAUCUGCCCCCCUUGUUUGUUUUUUAUUAUAUUUUUUGCAGCAGUGGCUCCCUUCAUUGGAUUGUGAGCAAGAGGGGAUCCUCGAUUGAUCUAUUUCCAUAUUUGCUGACAAGGACGCCGGUAAGCUCGUAGACCCACCGCUCGUCGUGAUUUAAUUUCUGGUGAUGAACCUGAUGGGAAAUAGGCUGUAUUGGUUGCUCGGCAUUGGUGCUACUUUGACGCUGAUGAUUUAGGUCUAGGGAACAACAUAGAAGGUAAAUCUUUGGUCUCCCACUAUUGAUCGAUUUGAAGUUGUCUUGGUUGAUUUUAUUUGUAUAAAGGAAACUUUUUAUGGAUAAAUUGAACCAAUCGGAAGCAGCCUUGGCAUUUAAGGCUAAAAAUUCAAUCUGGUUCUUCCCUGCAACAUAUGUUCUUCACAUUUUUCCCUAAGGUGAAGUACUCUAUAGAACUACUGGCAUAUGUGUAUGACAAAUUUUCUAGUUUUACCUCUUUCUAUUUUUCAUUUUGUCUUUUAGUAUUGUUGCGCGUAGACCCCCUAAACAGUAAUGACAUCCUUCCUACUUGAAGUCAAGUACAUUCAAUUAGGUAGCAAAAGAGAUGAAAAGAAGUGUGUGCUACCAAUGGAUAGGUAAAGAGCUCUUGAAACAUUGUUGAAACCUCUAUACCAUAUGAAAAAUAUUGCCCACACUUGAAAGGAAUUAAUGGAAAAAAUAAAACCUCUCUAACCAUAUGAACAUAUGAGUCCUUCCUUUUGACCUUUGAGAGUGCAUUUGGCUCACUAAGUAGGUUUUGGUGUUGAUGACAUGCAAAAUUAAUGAGCUAAUAAAUUUAUCGAGUUAUGGACAAAUUAAAAUUCAAUGAAAUAAAAAGAGCAAGAAAAGACGCCAAAUCUUCUUAAAGAACGGUGUUGGGCUUAAAAGAAGAUCUUUUAAUACUUUCUAUUUUGAACUUGAGUAUAGGAAACACCAUACCGAGGGAUGCGAAUGGAUAGUAUGAAGGUGUCAAAGUGCUUAUUUGAGAUGCUAACUAUCAAGGAGAGAUAUAGAAUCACACACUUGUGCAUCUAGUUUUCUGACUGUUUCAGUGUGUAUCGGAAGUUCCUAACUUUCGACAUGUGGUUCUUGGCAUAGCUGAUUUUAGCUAGGUUGGAAGUUCCCUGUAGCUUCCGACAAGGGGUUCUCGGCCAGCUAAUUUUAGCUAGGUCAGAAGUUCUGAUCCUGUGUGAAAAAUUCUGACAAUCACUUAUUCUGCACACUAAUGGCUAGGUUUUGGAGCUCAGGUAUUUAUACCCCUUAGCCCCUACUUUAUUUGCUGCUGACCUAACCCAAGAUAAACACAUCCAAGAACAUUUACUACUCCUCCCCGAUCCCUUUUUGAGCUAAUUCUUUAGUUGAUUUUAGUUGAUUUGAGUUAGGGCUUGUGAGAGCAAAAUUGAGGUGUGAGACUUAACCGUUUAAGUGAGAGGGCAACCAAGUUUAUCUCAAGAGCACUUGAAGCAUUCUCAUCCUUCGAUUCGCAUUUGUUACUCUUAAAGCUUGCUUCUAGACGGUUUGGUGUCGCCUUGUUGAGCGUCCUCUCGUGUGUGUGCGUCCCGGGAAGUUUGUAUUACCCAUCCUUUGUGGAUUUCAUAGCAAGUGACUCGAUCCUCCUUUAUCCUUUGUGGAUUUGAUAGCAAGUGACUCGAUCCUCCUUUAUGAUUGAUUGAGUGAGGUAAAGGAUUAUGGAAGACCCGGCUCUUUGUGAGCUCCUCAACGGAGACGUAGCUUGCUUAGUGGGAGUAAACUUCGAGAACAAGUCUCUUGUGUCCUGUGCUUAUUAUUUUCAUUUAGUUCUUGUUGAUCUAGAGUUUGUUUUGUGCCGAUCUACGUACUCGAGUUGUUGUGCUUGCAAAAACCAUCUGCAGAAGUCUUCUAGUACCAUUGCACAACUUUUGAUUCAGUCAGGUUCUGCAGUUUCAAGUUUAAUUUUGAAUUUCGUAUAAGAACUUUCCUUUUGUCAGAAGUUCCGGUCCAGUGUCGGAAGUUCCGACAGAUUUAAUUGUUGCAAAGAAUUUUUCAGGUUUUACAGUUACGCCUGUUCACCCCCUCCAGGCAUCAUCAAGAUCUUUUCAACCUUUUUAUCUUUACUGUACAUGAUUUUGACUAUAACCUCCAGCAGACAAAAACGUACACUGCAAUACGGUAAAUGAAGACCAUUCCUACUUCAAGUGUGAAAGCAUUGAAAAAAUUUGUGCUCUCUCCUGUAUAAGCUCUACUGAACAAGAAUCUAGACCCUUUGUUGCAAUAGAAUGCAGCUUCGGUAGCCCCUACUCAAAUAUAAACACACAUGAAAAAUAUAUCCAUUCUGAUUCCACCGAUAAAAUAGUAGCCGAUAAUGUCAGUAAAUAGCAGUCCUACUCAAGUGUGGAAGCAUUGAAAACAUCUAUCUUCUUUCCUCUGCAAAUUCUCUUGAAGAAGUAUCUAGGUUCUCUGGUUUACCAGAACACAUCCUGACCUUGCACAUGUCAUACAUUUUAAUUCUAGGCCAGACGGAUACAAGUGGUCUUGCAGCUUUUUUUACAUGUAUCAAGCUGGAGAGCUCCUAUUUGAAAGGAAAAUCUUCAUUACCCUUACCUCAGAUAUCUACACUUCUUUUGGGAAGAAGACGCGUCCCUCCCAAGUCACGUAUAGCUAGAUUACACCACAACGCAGCUAAACAUAUGUACAUUAUUAGCACUUAACCUUAUACUAUGUAAUGUUACAUCACCUUAGUAAGAUGUCCUGCAUUUUGCUGUAACCUUCCUAACUAAUGUAAAUAUACUAUUUUUAUAA